rnacentral:rRNA from 1 species
UACGAAGGGGGCUAGCGUUGCUCGGAAUCACUGGGCGUAAAGCGCACGUAGGCGGCUUUUUAAGUCAGGGGUGAAAUCCUGGAGCUCAACUCCAGAACUGCCUUUGAUACUGAGAAGCUUGAGUCCGGGAGAGGUGAGUGGAACUGCGAGUGUAGAGGUGAAAUUCGUAGAUAUUCGCAAGAACACCAGUGGCGAAGGCGGCUCACUGGCCCGGUGCUGACGCUGAGGUGCGAAAGCGUGGGGAGCAAACAGG